rnacentral:SRP_RNA from 1 species
GGCCGGAAGGAAGCAGCCGAAGUAAAG